AAACACUUCAAUCUGUUUUAAGAUUAAUCGUCGCAAAAAAUGAAAGGUCUAUUUCUUAUGAUGUGUUUAAUAUUCUCAUUUACAAUUCUUCAGGCCAAACAAGAAAAAAACGAUCUUUUUGAAGAGCAACGAACGCCAGAAGAAUCACCAAGACCGAUUCAUAGUCCACAUAUAUUCUCCAUUUCAAAGAAACGUAUUCCAAAUAGAUGGGGUGGCCCUAUUGGGAAGAGAGAACAAGAAUAAAGCCAAUCAAAUGUUUGAGCAAAGUCAUCAGUUGAAACCGCUUUUAAAUUGAUCUAAUAAAUUGAGGUAYAUGUAAUAAUAAACACAAUAAACCAGAUUAUUCUUCGA